rnacentral:rRNA from 1 species
AGUGAACGCUGGCGGUAGGCCUAACACAUGCCAGUCGAACGGCAGCACAGUAAGAGCUUGCUCUUACGGGUGGCGAGUGGCGGACGGGUGAGGAAUACAUCGGAAUCUACUUUUUCGUGGGGGAUAACGUAGGGAAACUUCCGCUAAUACCGCAUACAACCUACGGGUAAAAGCAGGGAAUCUUCGAACCUUGCGGGAUGGAAUGAGCCGAUGUCGGAUUAGCUAGUUGGCGGGGUAAAGGCCCACCAAGGCGACGAUCCGUAGCUGGUCUGAGAGGAUGAUCAGCCACACUGGAACUGAGACACGGUCCAGACUCCUACGGGAGGCAGCAGUGGGGAAUAUUGGACAAUGGGCGCAAGCCUGAUCCAGCCAUACCGCGUGGGUGAAGAAGGCCUUCGGGUUGUAAAGCCCUUUUGUUGGGAAAGAAAAGCAGCAGGUUAAUACCCCGCUGUUCUGACGGUACCCAAAGAAUAAGCACCGGCUAACUUCGUG